rnacentral:lncRNA from 1 species
CAACGAGCCCAUGGGAAAAAAGCUAGUUAAUUAAUUAUUAUGGAAUCUGAAGAAACAAUUGUUAUGAUUCAUAAUCAAGAAAAAUGAAUUAAUUUAUCAGUGAACAAGGCAUAUAUAUCUGAAAUUUUGAACAUCUACACUCAGGAUGAAAACACAUUGCAUAUUAGGCAUCCAUAUUCACAAGUAAAAAACAAUAGCACAUCAAUAUGUUCCAUUCAAAAAAAAAAGACCAUAAAUCUUUAGUUCUGAUCCCCGGUCGAAGAAUCGAUUAAACACUACACAAAAAUCAUAAAAUUUAAUUAGACUUUGAAAGUUCGAAUAAAGUUGCAAAUAGCACAUAUAUCUUGUUCUCUAAAACUGACUUGGGGGGAUUAAGUUUUGCUUCUAUAUGGUCUCGAUGGUAGAUUCAGUGGUGUCAAAGUUGAACUCUUUUCAGAUCAACCUAAAACUACAUCAGUUCAACUUUUUUUUUAGAUCAACAUAAAUUU